rnacentral:rRNA from 1 species
GGCAGGCCUAACACAUGCAAGUCGAGGGGUAACAUAGAAAAGCUUGCUUUUCUGAUGACGACCGGCGCACGGGUGCGUAACGCGUAUACAAUCUGCCUUAUACUGGGGUAUAGCCUUUAGAAAUGAAGAUUAAUCCCCCAUAGCCUCUUUUAAUGGCAUCAUUAUAAGAGUAAAGGUUACGGUAUAAGAUGAGUAUGCGUUCUAUUAGUUUGUUGGUGAGGUAACGGCUCACCAAGACUGCGAUAGAUAGGGGCCCUGAGAGGGGGAUCCCCCACACUGGUACUGAGACACGGACCAGACUCCUACGGGAGGCAGCAGUGAGGAAUAUUGGACAAUGGAGGCAACUCUGAUCCAGCCAUGCCGCGUGCAGGAAGACUGCCCUAUGGGUUGUAAACUGCUUUUAUACAGGAGGAAACCUUGGUACGUGUACCAAGCUGACGGUACUGUAAGAAUAAGGAUCGGCUAACUCCGUGCCAGCAGCCGCGGUAAUACGGAGGAUCCAAGCGUUAUCCGGAAUCAUUGGGUUUAAAGGGUCCGUAGGUGGAUAAUUAAGUCAGAGGUGAAAUCUUGCAGCUCAACUGUAAAAUUGCCUUUGAUACUGGUUAUCUUGAGUCAUUAUGAAGUGGUUAGAAUAUGUAGUGUAGCGGUGAAAUGCAUAGAUAUUACAUAGAAUACCAAUUGCGAAGGCAGAUUACUAAUAAUGUACUGACACUGAUGGACGAAAGCGUGGGUAGCGAACAGGAUUAGAUACCCUGGUAGUCCACGCCGUAAACGAUGGUUACUAGCUGUGUGGACUUCGGUCUGCGUGGCUAAGCGAAAGUGAUAAGUAACCCACCUGGGGAGUACGUUCGCAAGAAUGAAACUCAAAGGAAUUGACGGGGGCCCGCACAAGCGGUGGAGCAUGUGGUUUAAUUCGAUGAUACGCGAGGAACCUUACCAGGGCUUAAAUGUAAGUUGCAUUAGCUAGAGAUAGCUAUUUNUUCGGACCACUUACAAGGUGCUGCAUGGUUGUCGUCAGCUCGUGCCGUGAGGUGUCAGGUUAAGUCCUAUAACGAGCGCAACCCCUGUUGUCAGUUGCCAGCGAGUCAUGUCGGGAACUCUAACAAGACUGCCGGUGCAAACCGUGAGGAAGGUGGGGAUGACGUCAAAUCAUCACGGCCCUUACGUCCUGGGCUACACACGUGCUACAAUGGUAGGUACAGAGAGCAGCCACUGCGCGAGCAGGAGCGAAUCUAUAAAACCGAUCACAGUUCGGAUCGGAGUCUGCAACUCGACUCCGUGAAGCUGGAAUCGCUAGUAAUCGGAUAUCAGCCAUGAUCCGGUGAAUACGUUCCCGGGCCUUGUACUCACCGCCCGUC